CGGUCGGGAGGCCCCCGGUGGGACGGGCGCCAGGCAUGGACCGGAUCAAUACCGUCUCAGAUGGGGGCGCGCCGGGGCCCGACGGCGCCCGCU
ncrna:unclassified sequences Rhodo-rpoB RNA